ACCAGUUACCCUUUCCCACAUCACCCACCAAGUGUACAUACGGGCCUGCUGGUGAGGGACUGGCAUGCAGGGUGGAUAACCUUCACUACCAGGCUUGCAUGCAGUGUGUGUGAUAGCUGACCGCUCCCUCCAGGACAAUGGAAGAGCCUAGAAUCACUGUGAAUCUGGAGUUCAGGCAUUCCAGAAUUCAGAGAGAACUCAGGCAGCUGGCUGUUAAGCAGAUGUCAUAGAAGGGAACUGAUGGAUGUUUGGUAACAGAAGACACCUAGAGUGAUACAGAAUAAGCCAUGUGUCAUAUUGUUGUAUUUUUAAGCUUAUAGAUACCUAGACUGCUGUACCCUUUCUUUGUUAACACGGAAUACACCAAAUGACUUCUAUCAUUUUACUAUAGAAAUGUGAGGUCUUAGAGAGCUUCAUACGCUGACAGAUACAUUCCUGGAGUCACAUUACUGUGGGUACCACUCAAAUCUAGUGGCAGUUAAGCUUUUGGUAUGUUUACCAAACAAACCAAAGCUUGAGUAUUUUCUAUUUAAAGAAGAAAAAUUAGUCAUUGGAGAUAUUUUAAUCCUAACUUGAUUGUGUUUUCAUAUCAGGUAUUAUUUAGUAUUUUAGAACCAAACACUAAUGGCACAGUUAACAGAGCCAGCCUCUCAUGAUUUUAUUUAUUAAAUUUUCCUCUUGAUUUCUGAAAGGAGUACCAAGUUCGAGAUAAAGAACUUUUUAAAAUUACCCAGUAUAAAGACACUCCUUGCUUAGAAUUCUUUUAUGCAUUAAUUAAUCUGAUUCUAUGAUAAGGGAUUUAUUAAAAAAAGAAUUACCUUGUACUUUAAAUUGCAUUAUUGAUAUUAAAGUCUGUUAAAACAUCUCUUUUAAAUUCAAAGGAGAUACUGCUGUUUUUCUUUUUUGUUUUUUUUCCCACAAAACUAACCAAAAGGAAUGAAUUACUAAUUUUUUAAAAUACACUGUAUCUUUUCUAUUACUAAAAAUUUAAAAACCUACUUCCAGUUCCUUUCUAGUUAAUAUAAAUAACAUAUAGUUGUCUCUUCAUUAAGAUUUGUUAACCAGUUCAGUGAAUCAUCUACCUUUUCUGGAAUUGUCUUGUUCUGUGGUCUCUAAUCUCUCUCAAAAGUACUGAUUACUGUUUUCUAUUUUAAUUCAAAGUGAGUUUUAAAAAUAAGGUAUCUUUUCAUUUUAAGGUACCUUUUUAAAAUAAUUGAUCCUGGUAAUUCUCUAGGGAAGUGAUGAGGAAAUUCUUCAUCAAGUAACCAAGUAUAGGAUAUGAUCUUGAACUACAUUUGUUCUGAAAACAUUAUUUUUGUUAUUAAUAUCUCCCUCUGAGAGUCUCAUAUCUCAUUUUGAGACAAAUUUUGGUGUCUAAAUUAUAAUUAAAGAAGUUACAGCUAUGGUUAAUCAUAACGGACCAUUCAGCCCUGACUGGGGUGGCUCAGUUGGUUGGGCAUCUUGCUGCAAAGUAAAAGGUUUUUGGUUUGAUUCUCAGUCUGGGCACAUACCUGGGUUGUUUGUUCGGUCCCUGGUUGUGGGGAGUGUACGAGGGGCAACCGAUGAAUGUUUCUCGUUCAUCAAUGUUUCUUUCCCUCUCUUUCUUCCUC